rnacentral:rRNA from 1 species
AUUGAACGCUGGCGGCAGGCUUAACACAUGCAAGUCGAGCGGAGUGAUGGUGCUUGCACUAUCACUUAGCGGCGGACGGGUGAGUAAUGCUUAGGAAUCUGCCAUUUAGUGGGGGACAACAUUCCGAAAGGAAUGCUAAUACCGCAUGCGUCCUACGGGAGAAAGCAGGGGAUCUUCGGACCUUGCGCUAAAUGAUGAGCCUAAGUCGGAUUAGCUAGUUGGUGGGGUAAAGGCCUACCAAGGCGACGAUCUGUAGCGGGUCUGAGAGGAUGAUCCGCCACACUGGGACUGAGACACGGCCCAGACUCCUACGGGAGGCAGCAGUGGGGAAUAUUGGACAAUGGGCGGAAGCCUGAUCUAGCCAUGCCGCGUGUGUGAAGAAGGCCUUUUGGUUGUAAAGCACUUUAAGCGAGGAGGAGGCUACUAGUACUAAUACUACUGGAUAGUGGACGUUACUCGCAGAAUAAGCACCGGCUAACUCUGUGCCAGCCGCCGCCGUAACAC